rnacentral:rRNA from 1 species
UACGUAGGGGGCGAGCGUUGUCCGGAAUCAUUGGGCGUAAAGCGCGUGUAGGCGGCCCGGUAAGUCCGCUGUGAAAGUCCAGGGCUCAACCCUGGGAUGCCGGUGGAUACUGUCGGGCUCGAGUCCGGAAGAGGCGAGUGGAAUUCCUGGUGUAGCGGUGAAAUGCGCAGAUAUCAGGAGGAACACCGGUGGUGUAGACGGCUUUCUGGACCGUAACUGACACUGAGACACGAAAGCGUGGGUAGCAAACAGG